CAGCAGUCGCCGCGGUAAUACGAAGGGUGCAAACGUUGCUCGGAAUUAUUGGGCGUAAAGCGCACGUAGGCGGCUCCGCAAGUCGGAUGUGAAAUCCCUCGGCUUAACCAAGGAAGUGCAUCCGAAACUGCAGAGCUUGAGUACUUAAGAGGAUCGCGGAAUUCCCGGUGUAGAGGUGAAAUUCGUAGAUAUCGGGAGGAACACCAGUGGCGAAGGCGGCGACCUGGUCCUUUACUGACGCUGAGGCGCGAAAGCGUGGGGAGCAAACAGGAUUAGAUACCCCCGUAGUCCCUGUCUCUUAUAC
rnacentral:rRNA from 1 species